CCUAUUAAUAUUGCAUCAUGUGGAAUGAUUUUUCAAAAUGACUAUUAAAAGUGGACGCAGAGGCUGGGCAUGGUGGCUCAUGCCUAUAAUCGCAGCACUUUGGGAGGCUGAGUUCUGCGGAUCACUUGAGAAGGAGAGGCCUACACACCAAGCAGCAAAGCUGGAAUCAUCAGUGCAUCUUGCUCAAAAUUCACUGGUUGGGAUUUGUUGCAUGCAUCUCAGAGACGGGCAAAUUUUGAAGCUGGAAAGUGCAUCACAAAAGCCCCUGGCUCAGACCAUGGGUUCAGAGCAGAACACCAUGUUUCAUGGAAUCCUCAUUCUCGCAUUAUAUUAAUAAAGAAAAUUUGUAAAAAAAAAAGAA